rnacentral:hammerhead_ribozyme from 1 species
AUCCAGCUGAAGAGUCCCAAAUAGGACGAAACGCGCGUCGUGGAU